rnacentral:ncRNA from 2 species
CUUGCCCGGUCAGGAGAGAGUUUUCCCCGAGAAAACCGCCGAAGGCGCAUGUGCCACCCCCAAUGGUGGACUGAACGCUCAGGCAAAAGGACUGGCAACCGUCC